AUGUAACGUUAUGGCAUCUAUGUGAAAAUUGUAUUGUCAUUCCGUCAAUAAAUCGUUUAUUUAUAUAGAUGUCUUUUUCCACUUUAUAUACACAAUGCAUUCUUUAAUAUACGAUCUGGAGAUUGGUAUUAGGCAGUCGUGUUAUCUGACAUGUUGCCUUAUUGAUUGCAAUAAGGUGGAAAGGUUCCGAAUAAUUUUGAUGGGUAAGGCUCGCAAACAGUAUUAGUGACUUGGUAUAUCGCAUUCAAAAGUUAGAAUCGUCAAAACCAAGAGUUGUUCAUAACAACAGACUAAAACCGUAUCAUGGAGAUUUUGACAAUUGGCUAAUUAAAACUGUAAUUCAAAGAGACCACGAGUCUCACGCUACCGCAAUCGAAGAAAAUAACAUUGAGUCUGACAUUGAAUUGAGUGAAAAUGAACAGUGUGAUAUGUAUAAUCUUCCAACUGACAAUAUUGAAUACGGUCACGGACAUCGUGUGAAACGUCCACCCAACAGAUACGUGCCUGAUUAGAACUUUGUUGAAGUUAUAUAUAUAUAUGAACAUUUAAAAUUGAUAUGAACAUUGCAUGUUUUCAUGAUUAUGAUUGAGUUAUUUU
rnacentral:lncRNA from 1 species